UGGGUUAUUGUGUGCCGGU
rnacentral:miRNA from 1 species